GACGAACGCUGGCGGCGUGCUUAACACAUGCAAGUCGAACGGAAAGGCCCUGCUUGCCGGGUACUCGAGUGGCGAACGGGUGAGUAACACGUGGGUGAUCUGCCCUGCACUUCGGGAUAAGCCUGGGAAACUGGGUCUAAUACCGGAUAGGAGCCAUUUUUAGUGUGAUGGUUGGAAAGUUUUUUCGGUGUAGGAUGAGCUCGCGGCCUAUCAGCUUGUUGGUGGGGUAAUGGCCUACCAAGGCGGCGACGGGUAGCCGGCCUGAGAGGGUGGACGGCCACAUUGGGACUGAGAUACGACCCAGACUCCUACGGGAGGCAGCAGUGGGGAAUAUUGCACAAUGGGCGCAAGCCUGAUGCAGCGACGCCGCGUGGGGGAUGACGGCCUUCGGGUUGUAAACUCCUUUCGCUAGGGACGAAGCUUUUUGUGACGGUACCUAGAUAAGAAGCACCGGCUAACUACGUG
rnacentral:rRNA from 1 species